CGGUUGGCAUUUUCGCUAGAAGGUGAAAUGGGUAGAGCUGGGAUUCAAGAACACCAACGGUAAAAGCACUCUGCUGGGCCGACGCCGACACUGAGAGGCGAAAGGUAGGGGAGAGAAUGGGAUUAGAUACCCUAGUAGUCCUAGCCGUAAACGAUGGAUACUAGGAGCUAUGCGUAUCGACCUGUGCGAUCUUGUAGCUAACGCUUUAAGUAUCCCGCCUAGGGAGUACGUUCG